CACUCGGGCCGUAAACCAAGAGAGCCACGACCUGACCUGAAGAAUUAACCUAGCAAGUCCACCGUCGUCCGGCCACUUCAGGCCACCGCACUGGUCACGUUGGAACCGCCUUUCCACGCCAGCCCGUCCUCUGCCCACCAUUCGCCUUGAUUGGUAGCUACAAAGGAGAAUCCACGCAGUUUUGCUCGCAACAGUCUGUGAAACUCAACCCAGUUGCUCCGCCGUGCUCCGGCCGUUUCAGAUGGUUCCACUUCAUGGGUGUUGAAACUCUUGCCAUGCUAAGUUCACUGGUACCAACCGUGAAGCUCGAUUUGUGCGGAGAAAGGAACAUUAUGAUGUAGGUUUCGUUACCCGAUUUGGGGGUUGAACCCCAUGCGCCGCCACUUUUAGUAGUAUGUGGCAGCACAUGUCGCCAUUUCUAGCCUCGUAUUUUAGCCUGUUAGAUAGAGCUUAACCUUAUGAGCAUGUUGAUAUAACUUUUGUUGAAUUUGGUAAUCGAUCGGCAAUUCUGAAAUUUCGAUUUGUGACGAUCUGACUGUUGGAUCGUCAUGAUUUGUCAUGAGAAUGUUAGAAAAGUUUACGGAACCAUUGAAGUUUCCGACAAUUCUCAUGUAAGAUUGGAUUUUCAAAUUACGAAACCCUUGAAGUUUCAGAAAAUUCUUAUGACGAAAUUAUCAAUGGCGUUUUAGAGCUUCUUAUAGAAUUCAAAUUUAUUGUUUACAGUUUAUUUCCGAUAGGAAUGUCGGAUUUGAGUACUAUUUAUGAUUUGAGAAAUAAGUGUAUUUUUGGGCGAGUACUAAAUUGAAUUCCGACAUAAGUUGCGGAUUUGAUU